UACGGAGGGUGCGAGCGUUGUCCGGAAUCACUGGGCGUAAAGCGUGCGUAGGUGGUUGUUUAAGUCCGUUGUGAAAGCCCUGGGCUCAACCUGGGAAUUGCAGUGGAUACUGGGCAACUAGAGUGUGGUAGAGGAUGACGGAAUUCCCGGUGUAGCGGUGAAAUGCGUAGAUAUCGGAAGGAACACCAGUGGCGAAAGCGGCUUCCUGGUCCAGCACCGACGUUCAGGCACGAAAGCGUGGGGAGCAAACAGG
rnacentral:rRNA from 1 species